AUUAAAUGAUAGUCGAUUGCAUUAAUUGCGAAUUCAAUUAAUUGUCGUGAUUGCUGCUAACUGUUAUAACAUAAUUGUUAUAUUCGAUUGCUUUAGUAGCUUAGUCUAUUAAAUUGCGUCUGAGAUGUGUUAUUCUAUAAAUUGACGCGAAUUUGAUUUCUGUGAGAACUUUUGUGAUUCUAACAUUUUCAUAUCUUUUGCAGAAAGCUGUGAUUUUAUAGAAAGAAAAGAAAAGCUCCAAGAAACAAGAGUGACCGUGGUGAUCAACUACUUGUGAUUUCUUGAAGAGCAAGACUGUUGUGUUUUUCAAAGGCUGAUCAACUUGCACAUUUGGGUGUCAUUGAGAGAUCAGAUUCUGCAUUCUUUUGAAGAUUGGUUUGAGGUUCCCUGUUGUGAUUACAGGAAGAAGAGUGUGUGGUGUUCUUGACUUUAAGAGUGUCUCAAAGGGUUUAGACAACAGGAGAGGGGAUUCUUGCCGCUGGUCUUGUUGUGUACUGCCUAUAUUUUGAUUAGAGGGUUAGAGAGGUGUUUUAUAUUUUUGACGUGUGGUCGCUAUAAAAGCCUUAUUGGAAGACUUGUUCAUCAAGAAGCAAUGACAAUGACAAUAGGAAGAAGAAGAAAUGAUACACCAAGGAAAGACUUAUUCCUUAGGAGGAAUGACAUUAACAAUGGAAAGAAGAAAAUAUGACCGAGAAGGAGGACACAAACUUGGAAAUAUAUGCAAAUGAGUUAAUUUGUCUGUUAAUUUCCAACAAACCUAUGGGCAAGGUUACAAGAUUGGAAAUAUAUGCACAUGAGUUUGUUUGUUUGUCCAUCCCCAACAAACCUAUGAGUAGUCAAAGUCAUACCUAUAGUUUGGUUUUUUAUUUGCAUAAAUUUCUUUUGCUUUUAUUUGAGCAUAACAUCUUUACUUUAAAAUUAUUUUAUGUUUGUAGAUGAGUAUUUGACCCUGCAGGUAGACCUCUAACCCUUUAAUAAUAAGAUAUUUCUUUCUUUCUA